rnacentral:lncRNA from 1 species
GAUGCUUUAUGAAAAUUCAUCAUCUUUAAAACUCUGGUUCUUCAUGUUUACGAUUAUUAAAAUUGGAAUUGAGUUUGAUGAGUUCAUCUUGUAUUUCUGGUCAUGACUAGCCCAGGCAGGUGGAGUCUGUACUAGUUGUAAUGUACAGUAAGGUAGACUAGCAUCCAACCUGGGUUAAAUCAUGACUAACAUUUAUAGUCCCAGUAACUGCAUGGUAAUUACCUCCUUCCUCUGUGGUAUUACUAAAUACAUGUACUAGGUGGCGGCCGAGGCCUACCAUUUUUUCUCAAAUUUUGGGAUUGACUGGUUCAAUACAACAAUCUUUUAUGUUACAUUUACCCUUUUGGGGGGGGGAUUUAGAUUUGAAAUUUGUGAGAAAAUGGAAUUUUCUGACUGAUGAGUGAUACUAGAUGUAAACCAGUCAAUCAAAUUUGACUUCACCAUGUUUCAUGUAUUAAAACACUUUUUUCCUGGUGCAUGUUAAUUCCCUCAAAACUCAACCCUCUGCCCUCUUUUCACAAUAUUAUUAACCCUACAGUUCAGCAUAAGGUCAACGUUAACUACCUUAUCCAAAAGUUUAAUGUGGCCCUGUAGGUCUCCCACUUAUUGUAGGAAUACAUAUAGGUCCCCAAAUACACAAUUCCCGUAUCCAGCAUGUCCACGUAUGUAGGUCUACAUUUCUUGAUGACCAUUUGAAUCCUUACAACGUAUCAGUAGGCAUGUCAAUGUAUAGAUUCCAUGACAUCAACAAAACUUACAUUGCCUAGUAUGAAAUGCACACAUGUUGUAAGUGGUAAAUUGCACUUGUAAUAAAAUUUUUAGGGUUUUCCAACCUAAUUAACUUAUUUGUAACCUUUACCUUAAACUAAAUGUUCAGGAUGCCCAAUGACACCCAAGAUGCAGUGCUAAACUGACUGUCAGCAUUUGCAGAAAGGAUGACCCUGACCGAAUGGCAAGUAACAGCCAGGAUAGGAUGUCAAACUUGGCCAAGCAGAGUGAGUUGAAAACAGGUUCCCCACAAUGUCCUGGUUGAGGCGAGAUGUUAUCAGAAAUCUAGCGUCAGCAGUCUCUUUCAAGUGCAACCAUAGCUGAUUGACACAAGAUAUGGCCAGAAGCCAGCCCAAGGGCAAGAUGAACAUUAUCUUCUUUGCUCCAACUACUCUGAGAUUCUUCAGCACAGGAGCCCUGGUCGCACACAACCACCUUCGGAUGCAGCCUGAUGUCUUUCAGAUGCUAAAUGCAUUCCAUUAGUAAUGCCUCAAGGUGAGUAGCACUUGUGGCA